rnacentral:rRNA from 1 species
AACGAACGCUGGCGGCAGGCUUAACACAUGCAAGUCGAACGGACGUAGCAAUACGUUAGUGGCAGACGGGUGAGUAACGCGUGGGAACAUACCCUUUGGUUCGGAAUAACUCAGGGAAACUUGAGCUAAUACCGGAUAAGUCCGAGAGGAGAAAGAUUUAUCGCCGAUAGAUGAGCCCGCGUCUGAUUAGCUAGUUGGUGAGGUAAUGGCUCACCAAGGCGACGAUCAGUAGCUGGUCUGAGAGGAUGACCAGCCACACUGGGACUGAGACACGGCCCAGACUCCUACGGGAGGCAGCAGUGGGGAAUAUUGGACAAUGGGCGCAAGCCUGAUCCAGCCAUGCCGCGUGAGUGACGAAGGUCUUCGGAUUGUAAAGCUCUUUUGGCGGGGACGAUAAUGACGGUACCCGCAGAAUAAGCCCCGGCUAACUUCGUGCCAGCAGCCGCCGUAA